rnacentral:rRNA from 1 species
CCUACGGGGGACAGCAGUGAGGAAUAUUGGUCAAUGGACGAGAGUCUGAACCAGCCAAGUAGCGUGAAGGAUGACUGCCCUAUGGGUUGUAAACUUCUUUUAUAAAGGAAUAAAACGAGGCACGUGUGCCUUUUUGCAUGUACUUUAUGAAUAAGGAUCGGCUAACUCCGUGCCAGCAGCCGCGGUAAUACGGAGGAUCCGAGCGUUAUCCGGAUUUAUUGGGUUUAAAGGGAGCGUAGAUGGGUUGUUAAGUCAGUUGUGAAAGUUUGCGGCUCAACCGUAAAAUUGCAAUUGAUACUGGCAGUCUUGAGUACAGUUGAGGUAGGCGGAAUUCGUGGUGUAGCGGUGAAAUGCUUAGAUAUCACGAAGAACCCCGAUUGCGAAGGCAGCUUACUAAACUGUGACUGACAUUGAUGCUCGAAAGUGUGGGUAGCAAACAGGAGUAGAUACCCGUGUAGUC